rnacentral:rRNA from 1 species
CAGCAGCCACGGUAAUACGUAUGUCACAAGCGUUAUCCGGAUUUAUUGGGCGUAAAGCGCGUCUAGGCGGUUAAUUAAGUCUGAUGUGAAAAUGCGGAGCUCAACUCCGUAUUGCGUUGGAAACUGGUUAACUAGGGUACUGGAGAGGUAAGCGGAACUACAAGUGUAGAGGUGAAAUGCGUAGAUAUUAGGAAGAACACCAGUGGCGAAGGCGACUUUCUGGACGAAAACUGACGCUGAGGCGCGAAAGCCAGGGGAGCGAACGGGAUUAGAUACCCGCGUAGUCCCUGUCUCUUAUACA